UAGCCAUGACUACUACUUCGUGUAAUCGCGUGUGUCGGUUAGACCACCUGUUUUACCGCUUUCGGAACCCCAAGUUAUCAUCUUGUUGAGACAUUGGUUUGAUAUAGUAUAUUCACAAUUUCAGAUUGCAUCUGCUAUUUAUCUUGUUCUUGCUUGUUCUUCGAUUGCUUGCAGGAACAAAGACCUUCGUGGUCAGGUUGAUCGUGCCCCCACGUGAUCAAUAACCCUCUGGAGUUAGUGUAUCGAUUGCUAAGGCGCUGCUUUCUAGGCCGUAGUCGGAUCGUCAACGUCACCUCCUAUCCAAAUUGAGAUUUAUCAAUCUCAUCGAAAGAUCGGGCCACCCCGACCCAUAUCACGUGGUAUCAGAGCUUAAGGUUGCUCGGUGAGAUUUUUCCAAUUUAUUCCUAGUUUAGAUCUGUUUUUACCUAUCGUCCAGAAAAAUUCAAAUUAGUUACCUUGUCCUAGAACCAAUCUGAGCCUUGCAAUUUUCACAUUAGUAUUUGCAUUGUUGAAUCUUUGCUGCAUUAAUCGUGUCGAGUUGCUGGAUUAGAUUGGAUCGUUUUUCAUAUUUUUUCUACUAGAUCGAACUUGCUUUUGGUUUUCUUGUUGUUCGUGUGACGCAGGUUUCCUUCAUCAAUCUUCCGCCGCCAAACUCCCUGCCACACCACCACCACGCCAUAAUCUUCCGCUACCACCAUAUCUUCCAUCGAGUCCUACACCGAGUCCUUCUCCGAGUUCGUGUCCGAGUCCAAUCGAGAGUGCUUUUGGAAAGUGUUUCAUAAUAGAUUGAUUUUUGUUUAGAGAUCAAGUUGUUCGGAAAGUUUUUAAAAAAAAGAAAGGAAAGAAAGAAAGAUAAAAAACGAAAAAAAAGAGAGAGAAAGAAUCAGUUUCGGAUCCACGUUGAGAGAAUUUUAGUUUCGGGUGGGUUUGACCCGUGUUCAGUAAAACGGGCGUAUCUUCUGCAUACCAACUCGGAUUUGGACGUUCUUGGACCUUUUGGAAAGCUCAUGACGAGGCGCAUCAGGAAAUAUCUAGAGCUUGGGCCUGCACGUUCACCCUCAAAUUCGGCUUCUAAGGUGGACUUUCCGAGUUUCCAAGUUGCUGCAUCCGUUUUCCGACGUCGCUGCAGCCCGGUGUUUUUCAGUUUUCUCCACCGUCCGACAUCCGUUUUGAUUGAAUUUGCCCUUUCUGGAAAGCUUGUGUCGAUACGCUUCUAACCCAUAUUUUUCCAUAUUUUUCUGAAUUUUUCUUACUGCAGCCUUUGCUGUUCUUCGACAGACCGACGUACAGUUUUCCGAUCCUUCUUUUGCGUGAGUUUCUGGGGUUAAAAAAAAAACAAGAAGAAGAAAAGAAUAAGAAGCCAAACAGAAGGCCACAAAAAGAAAAAAAAAGAAAAAAAAAUCUCAGGGAUUUACUUGUUGUGCCAUGUUUCUAUCCUACCUUCUUCAGUAUCUAGGCUUAGAUUAUUUCUGUAAUUCGUUCUUAUCGACUCCAGCAGUUAGGACUAGCAUUAUUAAGCAUAUUUUCAAAUUUGCAUUGCUGAUUUGAUUUUUUCCUAUUUCUUGCUACUCACAAAAGCCUCCAAGCUCCACAGAUUCUACACCUAGGUUAGUUUGUUACCGAGGCAUCGAUACAUUCAAUCUUCGGAGGGCUUGGUUACGCCGCUGGCCAUCACCUUCCUGUUUUGCACGGUAAGAACUCGUAAGAACUUGAUUUUUAGCUUGAGAGUUGAGCGACUUGUAGCCACAUCCUAGUUGGUUAGACCACCUGUUUUGCCGCUUUCGGAAACCCAACUUAUCAUCUCGUUGAGACAUGGGUUUGAUAUAGUAUAUUCGCAAUUUCAGAUUGCAUCCGCUAUUUAUCUUGUUCUUGCUUGUUCUUUGAUUGCUUGAAGGAACAAAGACCUUCGUGGUCAGGUUGAUCGUGCCCCCGCGUGAUCAAUAACCCUCUGGAGUUGGUGUAUCGAUUGCUAAGGCGCUGCCUUCUAGGCUGUGGUCGGAUCAUCAACGUCACCUCCUACCCAAAUCAAGAGUUCUCAACCUCAUCGAAAGAUCGGGCCACCCCGACCCAUAUCAAGGUGUCUCCAAGGCGGGGGCUGCUGCAGAGGCGCGAUGGCGGUGCAUGCCAUCCGUGCUGAGCGCCGAU
rnacentral:lncRNA from 1 species